rnacentral:sRNA from 1 species
UUUUUCUCAUCAAGAGGUCAUGACGCCAGUCAGAUCACACUAGCCUUGGGCACAGCUGCCUCCUACCCCAGGGCCUGCCAGGCUCUCGGGGCCAUGCUGUCCAAAGGAGCCCUGAACCCUGCUGACAUCACCGUCCUGUUCAAGAUGUUCACAAGCAUGGACCCUCCUCCGGUUGAACUCAUCCGCGUUCCAGCCUUCCUGGACCUGUUCAUGCAGUCACUCUUUAAGCCAGGGGCUCGGAUCAACCAGGACCACAAGCACAAAUACAUCCACAUCUUGGCGUACGCAGCAAGCGUGGUUGAGACCUGGAAGAAGAACAAGCGAGUGAGCAUCAAUAAAGAUGAGCUGAAGUCAACGUCAAAAGCUGUCGAAACCGUUCACAAUUUGUGUUGCAACGAGAACAAAGGGGCCUCUGAACUAGUGGCAGAAUUGAGCACACUUUAUCAGUGUAUUAGGUUUCCAGUGGUAGCAAUGGGUGUGCUGAAGUGGGUGGAUUGGACUGUAUCGGAACCAAGGUACUUUCAGCUGCAGACUGACCAUACCCCUGUCCACCUGGCGUUGCUGGAUGAGAUCAGCACCUGCCACCAGCUCCUGCACCCCCAGGUCCUGCAGCUGCUUGUUAAGCUUUUUGAGACUGAGCACUCCCAGCUGGACGUGAUGGAGCAG